rnacentral:rRNA from 1 species
UACGAAGGGUGCAAGCGUUACUCGGAAUUACUGGGCGUAAAGCGUGCGCAGGCGGUUUUGUAAGACUGUCGUGAAAUCCCCGGGCUUAACCUGGGAAUGGCGAUGGUGACUGCAAGGCUAGAGUUUGGCAGAGGGGGGUAGAAUUCCACGUGUAGCAGUGAAAUGCGUAGAGAUGUGGAGGAACACCGAUGGCGAAGGCAGCCCCCCUGGGUCAAGACUGACGCUCAUGCACGAAAGCGUGGGGAGCAAACAGG